rnacentral:rRNA from 1 species
AUGGAGAUCACCAAGGUCGACCUUCGAGGGCUGGAGCCUGGCCAGCCAGGGUGGGACGAAGCCCGGGACGCAGUGACCGCGUCCAUAGUGGCGCAAGGCUGCGUCGUGGUGCAUGUCCAGCACGUCGGGCUGGACGAGGACAUCCGGCAGGCGCUGUUCGGCCGCGCCAUGCAGGAGAUGUUCGCGCUCCCCGCGGAGGCCAAGCAGCGCAACUCCAACAAUGACAUGCAGUACGGAGGGUACAUCGGGCAGAUACCCGGCAUGGCGUACGAGAGCAUGCGCAUCAAGGACGUCACCGACGCCGGCCACAUCAGCGACUUCGCCGGUCUGCUCUGGCCGCAGGGCAACCCCGCCUUCUGUGACACGGUUGGGGAGUUCACCAAGAAUGCUGUAAGCCUGGAGAAGACGGUGACGAGGAUGGUCUUGGAAGGCCUCGGUGUCCGAGACGAACACGCCCUCGACUCGCACCGCGACCAGCUCUGCUACAGCUUGAGGAUGUCCUACUACGGCAUCUGCCCGGAGGAGAACACGGCCAAGGUGAGCCUGCCGGAGCACCGUGACUACGGCAUGACCACCACCAUCGUGCAGCACGAGGUUGAGGGCCUGGAGGUGCAGCUCAAGGACGGAAGCUGGUUCGCCGUGCCUCCUGAGCCGGACACGGUCGUCAUCGUCGCCGGCGAGCUACUCAACGUGGUGACCAACGGACGGGUGCGGGCCUGCCUCCACCGUGUCAGGACGCCGAGCAAUCGGGAGCGCUUCUCCGCGGUGCUAGGUUGCAUGCCCACCCAAGGCUCCACGGUGCGGGCGAUGGAGCAGCUCGUCGACGAGGGCCACCCUCUGGUCUACCGUCCCUGCGAUCCCUACGAGUACUGCGCCUUCCAGUACUCGGACGAAGGCCGCAAAUCCGGCGACGCGCUCAAGGCUUUCUGCGGAGUAGCUAAAGAUCUAGAUGGACCAGCUGUGUGA